CUUGCACUGAUUUUAACAAUGAAGCGAGUGGCGAACUGGUGAGUAACACGUGGGAAAUCUGCCCAGAAGCAGGGGAUAACACUUGGAAACAGGUGCUAAUACCGUAUAACAACAAAGUCCGCAUGGAUUUUGUUUGAAAGGUGGCUUCGGCUAUCACUUCUGGAUGAUCCCGCGGCGUAUUAGUUAGUUGGUGAGGUAAAGGCCCACCAAGACGAUGAUACGUAGCCGACCUGAGAGGGUAAUCGGCCACAUUGGGACUGAGACACGGCCCAAACUCCUACGGGAGGCAGCAGUAGGGAAUCUUCCACAAUGGACGAAAGUCUGAUGGAGCAAUGCCGCGUGAGUGAAGAAGGGUUUCGGCUCGUAAAACUCUGUUGUUAAAGAAGAACACCUUUGAGAGUAACUGUUCAAGGGUUGACGGUAUUUAACCAGAAAGCCACGGCUAACUACGUGCCAGCAGCCGCGGUAAUACGUAGGUGGCAAGCGUUGUCCGGAUUUAUUGGGCGUAAAGCGAGCGCAGGCGGUUUUUUAAGUCUGAUGUGAAAGCCUUCGGCUUAACCGGAGAAGUGCAUCGGAAACUGGGAGACUUGAGUGCAGAAGAGGACAGUGGAACUCCAUGUGUAGCGGUGGAAUGCGUAGAUAUAUGGAAGAACACCAGUGGCGAAGGCGGCUGUCUAGUCUGUAACUGACGCUGA
rnacentral:rRNA from 2 species